GGUGCACGUCGGAUUCAGGCGCACCGGAUGAAGGUGAAUGUGGCAAGGCAGCCCGGGCGGUCGGAAGGACUGCGCCCGGGUUUAUCCCGGAAAGAGCUGCACCCCGCGGGGCCCAGCGCCAUCCGCAGCCGGGACAGGCGCGAGCACUUGGCCCCGCGGCUGCCCCGCACAGGCACUCACAGGGGAGAAUCCGCCCGACAGCUGGUGACGUCACGGCUCUCCAGGACGCAGUUGGCUGCUCCGACUUGACCGCUGUCGAGGGGAGCAUCCAGUGUGAGACCGGAAGCCCCGAGUGUUGCCCCUUCUCCUCCUGCGCACCCGCUUCGCCCUCGCCACUGGGAAACUCCAGUCUGCCGGUAUUGUGCUCUCAAGAAUACUGUGGGCCAUGGCGUGGGGGCGCACGCCUGCAAUCCCAACACUUUGGGAGGCCAGGGCAGGAGGAUCACUUGAGCCCAGGAGGUCGAGGCUGCAGUGAGCCAUGAUCACACCACUGCACUCCAGCCUGAGUGACAGAACAAGACCCUGUCUCAAGAACAACAACAAAAACAUUGUGGACUCCCCAGCUCAAGACACAGCCCCCCAACAAACACACAUCCCCCAGGCUCUCCAGACCUGCUUUGUCCCCUAGUACAGAAGAAGCCAAGCUUGAGGGCACCCCUAGGACUGCGGGCACUUGAACAUUCUCGUAGGUGAUUUCCUCAUCAUCAUCAGCCCCUGGGUCUAGAGAGAAGAGAAAAGGGACCAAGGUGGGAUUUGGGAAUGGGAUCUGUGGGGCGGGAAGUGGGGAUGCAGGAUCAAGGGGAGGCCUCAUCCCCCUUACCCUGUCCUAACCGGCUGGAGAUGCUCUUCUUCAGGGGAGCCUUCACAAACCUCAGAUCUGCAUAGGUGAUGGCCUCAGCCAUGGUCCUGAGCAGCUCUGCCCCCACUCGUCUUCCCUGUCAUCCACUGUCCUCCCUUGCCCCUCUCGUCUCUGUCCGUUUACAACUAGGCUCUGUGUUCCCUCUGUGACUGCAUGGCUUAGCAAUUGGCCCUGUGACUUCCAGUCACAAAAGAGGAAGGUGUUAGCAAGUCUCAAACAGAUGGGCUCAAUGAAGCAGAAGGCAUCCCUGGGCCAGGGCCAGAGGGGCCACGGAGGGGACGCUGAGGUCCAGAACACAGGGGUAGGGGAUGGGCCUGUCCCCAUGUCCUCCCUGUGCUUCCUCUCCAUGCAUCUUAAACCCAUAUGGGCCAUGCUGGGCCCCAAACUCGGUCCUUCUGAUUAUCUGCCCUGAUCUGCCCCACCCUCCUCCUGGCUGCCUUGUCCACUGGGGCUUAUGAUGUGUAGCUGGAGCUGCACUGACCCAGACGAUCUCCCCAGCUCCAGGGUGAGGCUCCAUUCUCCCCAUGAGACUGGGGGUUCCUGGUUUGCAUCCCUUGCUUCUCAUCAUCCUGGGGUUUCCAGUAACUGGGGGUUCCAGUAACUGGGGGUUCAGGAACAGGCCUGGGCCAGAGGUGAAGGUAAGGAACAGCCAUGGCUGCAGCACCUCUGGAAAGGCAAGUGGCAGCACUGCCCCCCAUGCACCCUCAUGGGGAGCCAGGGAGCAGGUGAGCAAGGGAGUUGCAGAGGGCUUAAGAAGGGCUGCAGCUUCCUAGGUGAAGUCAAGGCAGAGGAGCAGAACAGAGCCAGAGGCCAAGCACAGAUUCUGGACCAGCAGAGGUUUUGACAUUUUCUUGGUUUGGUUUUGGUUCUUCUCUUACUUUCCUAGCAAAGUUCUUUCUUUAAAAAGUCCCAAAGCUGUCCCUUCACACCCAGCCCCAAGGAAAAAGGGGGCAUUUGUGGCGGAGGACCCAGGGACUGUGAGGCCCUCAUAGGUGGUGGGGGCCUGGCUGAUGGAGGAGAGAGGGAACCACUUGGGGGAAAGGGGGCUGCUGAGCAGGGGUGCCCAAAGGUGCUCCCUAAUGUUCUUUUACCGGGAUGUGACCCCUACUAGGAACCCCAAAAUGGCCUACAUCCAGGAUAGGAAGGCGCUAGAACAAGAUGUAGUGUGGGGGUGGGAAGAACCCGCCCCUAGCAAAGUGACAUCCGCCCCGCAGAAUCCCCCUCCUGCAGCUGUGGGGAGGAAAAAGGAAGGGGGAAAAGGUCCUCACCACAUGCCAACAGCUCGGAUGAUUGGUGAUGUGUGGCAGGACACUGCCAGGGACCCUAGAGCUCUGCCAAUAGCUCCGCCCAGCCAGCCCUAGAGGAAGUGGCCACUGAGGCAAAGCUGUGACCUCAAAAAUGUACUUGUAGAGAGGCACGUGUGCAUGUGUGUGCAUGGAUAUGCAUGUUCCCAGGACUUUGCAGUCUGUUAGGGCAUCUGUGAGGUGAGCGGCUAUGUCAGAGCCUGCCUGGAGGAGGAAGCCUUCUGUGGGCUGAAGGCUGCCUGUGAUCACUGUUAUUUUCCAUGGCAGAGAAUGACGGGUCAUUUUCAGAAAAGUCGUCAAAGGUCAUCACAAGAGAUCCUACAAGUAUUUCCUUUUUGAAGCUCACUGUUUCCUAAGGUGCCUCUGCAGCUGUUAACUGUCCUUGCUUGAUUAAAGUUUCCAACAACCUAGACCUUCCCCCA